rnacentral:rRNA from 1 species
GCCAGCUAAAAUGGUUUCCAAGUCUCUGGCCUUCGUGUGCGUCAUCUUCGCCUUCCUCGUCAUCGUCUCGCAAGGCGUGGUUGCUGCUAGGGAUCUCACCCAUGUUAACAGAGCAGGAGGUAACAAUUAUGGUGGUGGCUGGUCGGGCUCGUAUGGAGGGCGACGCCCAUGACGGAUGCUCUUCGUGGGAAUCCGGCAAAUAAAUGCAGUUCCGGCUUGCUUUUGCAGAUCAUUCAUGUGUAUGGUAUACUAUAUGGUAUAUAUAGUUUCUGUGUACAAGCUAGCUAGGUAUAUAUGUGCCCUGUGUACUCAAGAUGAACUUGAAUGA